GUGGGGAAUAUUGGACAAUGGGCGCAAGCCUGAUCCAGCCAUGCCGCGUGAGUGAUGAAGGCCCUAGGGUUGUAAAGCUCUUUCAGUGGGGACGAUAAUGACGGUACCCACAGAAGAAGCCCCGGCUAACUUCGUGCCAGCAGCCGCGGUAAUACGAAGGGGGCUAGCGUUGUUCGGAUUUACUGGGUGUAAAGCGCACGUAGGCGGAUCGUUCAGUCGAGGGUGAAAUCCUGGAGCUCAACUCCAGAACUGCCUUCGAAACUGGCGAUCUUGAGUCCGGAAGAGGUGAGUGGAACUCCUAGUGUAGAGGUGGAAUUCGUAGAUAUUCGGAGGAACACCAGUGGCGAAGGCGGCUCACUGGCUCGAUACUGACGCUGAGGUGCGAAAGCGUGGGGAGCAAACAGGAUUAGAAACCCUUGUAGUCC
rnacentral:rRNA from 1 species